CCGGGAGGUUGAUAAAGCGGCGGCGGCGUUUGACGUCAGCGGGGAGUUAAUUUUAAAUCGGUACAAGAUGGCGGAGGGGGACGCGGCAGCGCGGCGGCAGCAGCAGCAGCGCCCGCCCCAGGAGCUGCGGCGGCGGCGGCGGGGGCGGCCGCGGAGCGGAGACCGGGCGGUCCAGGACAACCACGUCUCGUCUCCGUCCUCGCUAGGUGAAGAUUACGAAGAUGAUGAUCUGGUAAACUCAGAUGAGGCUAUGAAGAAACCCUGUCCAGUACAGAUUGUUCUUGCUCAUGAAGAUGAUCACAAUUUUGAGCUUGAUGAAGAGGCAUUGGAGCAAAUUUUGUUACAAGAGCAUAUACGUGAUCUUAAUAUUGUAGUGGUGUCUGUGGCAGGAGCUUUCCGUAAAGGGAAAUCUUUCUUACUGGAUUUCAUGUUGAGAUAUAUGUAUAACAAGAAUUCCUCUAGCUGGAUUGGUGGAAACAAUGAACCAUUGACUGGCUUUACAUGGAGAGGUGGAUGUGAGAGAGAAACAACAGGCAUACAGGUCUGGAAUGACGUAUUUGUAAUUGAUAGGCCAGAUGGAACAAAGGUUGCUGUAUUGCUAAUGGAUACCCAAGGUGCCUUUGAUAGCCAAUCGACUAUCAAAGAUUGUGCAACUGUAUUUGCUUUGAGCACUAUGACAAGUUCUGUUCAGGUAUAUAACUUAUCUCAGAAUAUUCAAGAAGAUGAUCUUCAGCAUUUACAAUUGUUUACAGAGUAUGGAAGACUAGCAAUGGAAGAAAUCUACCAGAAACCAUUUCAGACAUUAAUGUUCUUGAUUCGAGAUUGGAGUUAUCCAUAUGAACAUUCAUAUGGCUUGGAAGGAGGAAAACAGUUCCUUGAAAAAAGAUUACAGGUAAAGCAAAACCAACAUGAAGAGCUUCAGAAUGUUAGGAAGCAUAUUCAUAAUUGUUUCUCUAACCUUGGUUGUUUCUUGUUGCCACAUCCUGGACUUAAAGUUGCAACCAAUCCAAGUUUUGAUGGGAGAUUGACUGAUAUUGAUGAAGACUUUAAAAAAGAGCUUCGCAAUCUGGUUCCGUUACUGCUUGCCCCUGAAAAUUUGGUAGAAAAAGAGAUAAGUGGAUCCAAAGUGACUUGUAGAGAUCUUGUAGAAUACUUUAAGGCUUACAUAAAAAUCUAUCAAGGAGAGGAACUUCCACAUCCUAAAUCUAUGCUUCAGGCAACAGCUGAGGCUAAUAAUCUUGCUGCAGUAGCAGGAGCAAGGGACAGCUAUAGCAAAAACAUGGAGCAGGUAUGUGGUGGAGAUAAGCCUUACAUUGCACCUUCGGAUUUAGAGAAAAAACACUUGGAUUUCAAAGAGGUGGCUGUCAAACAGUUCUGUGCUGUGAAAAAAAUGGGAGGAGAUGAGUUCUGCCGUCGUUAUCAGGACCAGCUUGAAGCUGAGAUCGAAGAAACCUAUGCAAAUUUUGUAAAGCACAAUGAUGGCAAAAACAUCUUCUAUGCUGCUCGUACACCUGCCACACUGUUUGCGGUCAUGUUUGCUAUGUAUAUAAUCUCAGGACUGACUGGCUUCAUCGGCCUGAACUCGAUAGCCGUCUUGUGUAAUCUGAUAAUGGGUUUAGCACUGAUAUCCCUUUGUACUUGGGCAUAUGUUAAAUACUCUGGGGAAUUCAGAGAAAUUGGAACAAUGAUUGAUCAAAUUGCUGAAACACUAUGGGAACAGGUUGGUAUCUAUCUUUUAGUUUUUCAUUGACUAAUCUAUCCUUCCCAUCUUGAUAUUUUCCUCUCCAUUGUUUGAAUAGCUACUCUCUCCCUUGUAUCAAUUCUCAUCCUCUCUGGGCUUUCCUUCUUUGUAAAAUGAGGGGGUUGUAAUAGAUGAUGCCUUGAAGUUUCUUCCACCUCUAAAUCCUUUGAACUGUUGAAUGUAUUGAAGUCAUGCUCUGUUGAAUGGAUUUAAAAUCACAAUGUCAAUUUGUCAUAUAGAUAUGAGAGAUUUAUUUUCAAAAUCACAAUAAUCAUAAAAGUUUGGCUAUGCCAAAACUGACAACUUUGGGAUAGAUCCUAAAGCUUUUUCUUAGGGUUGGUUGUUGCAGAGAUAUGGUCAAUUCAACAAAAAAUGUUCAGUUCAGUUUAAAGAAUUGGGAGUAUUUAUUGUGGAGUUUUUGGUGAGUUUUCUUUGUAUUAUGAAAACCCUCGAUAGUAAUACAAUCAGUGAAGACUUGAAGAGGGAAGACAAAUAGGUUUGGGAAUCAUAACUAAUAUUUUUGAAAAGGGCUGCUUACCAAUAUGAGCAAAAAGUAAAAUUGAGUAGUGGUCAUAUCUGCAACCAAAGUGAUAAAAUUGCUUACCAGGAAGAUAAGGUUGACAGACUGAAGUACUUUGAAGAAAAAAGCCUAGAUUCAUUUUGUACUGGACCUGAGAAGCUGUUAACUCAUUUACCUAUGAUAUGGGACGACAGACCCACUGGAAGCCAGAAGGACUUGUUUCUGGAUUUUGCUUUUUGGUGUUUUGGUAUGGCCAGAGUCAAGCUUCACCAACACUAAACAGUUAAUGGGUUGGAGCAGCUCUGUCUGUAUCUAGCACUUAUAUGCUGACAUUGCAUGUAGUAUGCAGAUAUGAAAAAUGGUCACCUUGGAAUAUUUGAACACUAUAAGAAGAAGAAAAAAAAUAAAGCUGCUCUUAUUUGUGAACAGUAGACUUAAUUAUUUUCAGUUUGCAUUUCUGUAGCCUAGUGAGAUAUUUGCUCUUUCUGAAGCUAUAAUUCCUGUCGAAUCUCCAUGUUUCUGCUUUAAAAACUUCUAAGAAAGUAAUUCUAUCUUAAUGCUUUCCUUCUCCAAUUUAUCUUGUAAAAAUGCUUUCUUCUUUCUUUCCACUGCAAUCCACCCAUAAGAAUGAUGACUCAUUCGCUUAAUUUUUGAAAUAACAUUGUUUAUUUUUAGUUGACUAAAGACUUCAUAUAUGUAUCAACUUAAAUUCUGCUCUUCUGAAAAUUCUAAUAAUUUCAUAGCAUCUUUGGUGUUUUACUAACAAAUUGAUUGAAAGACAAAACCUUUGAUUUGUCCCUUGAUUUUUGUAAUAAGUAUAUUAUCUCUCCCCCUCUUGUCCCAGAUGCCUUUUAUUAUUUUAGAUUAUAAAUAUAUUUUAAUUUUCCAGGUUCUUGCUUUAAAAAUAAUCCAAUUAUUGUGCAGCAUUUUAUCUAGAAUUUUAAGUGUCACUGAAACAAAGUCAGUCAAGUGAAAAUGGUCUGUAGUAUGUAAAAUUAUUUUCAUGUUAAUUUGAAUUGCACUGAUUCCUACUAUUCAGAGGACAAAACCUCUGUGUUGUUAUUGACUUUGUCUAAAUAUCUUUGCCUUUCUCUUUUCUUUUGCCUCAGAGGAGUCCCAGGAAGGUGUUUUCCAAACUGUUUGAAGUUAUUAGACGUCGAAUGAUUCAUCGUGCUCUUUCGUCAGCACAGCGACAGAGACUAUCAUCCAACAAUAACAAGAAGAAAAAUUAGACAGUAUUUUUAACUUUUCUGUAUAUGAAGUGUUCAUAUUUACACAUGUAGGACAAUAAGCAGGACCGUCUGGGCCGGUCUGCAUAAAAUGCUGUAAACAUACCAGAUUGAUGCUGCAUAUAGGGUAUGGAAUUGCACAUACAUCUCAUAGGAACUAUAAAAUGGUUUGAAUUCAGUGGCAUACCAUAUAGGAAGAAAAUAAUUUCUAUUUUUCUUUGUAAAGUGACUAAAUACAUUAUUUGCAGCUUAUUCUUUUGAAACUUUUUAGUUUAGUUUUCCAUAUUCUUGGUUACUUUGCUCAUUACUUUGAAUUGAAUUUUAAAAUAUUUUUAUAUGUAACUUUUUUUUUUUACCUUAUGGCUUUUUGUUUUGUUUUGCACAUUUCUCAUACCACAGGUAUUGAAGCCCCUGGGUGAUAAUUUGAUGGAGGAAAACAUAAGGCAGUCUGUAUCAAACUCUAUCAAAGCAGGCCUGACUGACCAGGUGUCUCAUCAUGCCCGAUUAAAGACAGACUGACAGUUCAUCUCCUCUUCAACUCUGCUCUCCGUCCUUUUUCAUGCUUGCUGUACAAUGAGAACUCAAAUAAACCAAAGUUUACAAUCCACUAUAGAAGUAGUUUAGUAUAACUGGCUCCACAGAUUGUUGCCACAGAGUGUGAAAUUGCUUGUUGGUUUUAAGUAUUCUCUUCACUUGCUUCCAAGACACAAGUUAGUGCCAUGGAGACUGAGAGAGGAGCAUUCUUUUAUCACGCACAUUUGUGCCAUGUUUAAUUCUUAAUUUAAUCUGCAGUCUCUGGCUUGUUAGAAAAAGUCGUCGUCUGUAAAGGAUGUAUCAGGGAAAUAUUUUGAGAAAUCAUUUAAAGUGAAUCUUUUAACAGAAUGUAAACAUACAGUGUCCUGUUGAGAUUUUAAUUUCUGGAAUAGCUAUGAAUCAGAGUCAGUUUGAGAUGGUAGUGACAACUGGCACCAGGGAAUUCUCUAUUGAGCCACGACAUUAAAAAUAUAUAUUACUUUACUGCCAUCAGUACCAGUGUUACACAAAGUGCAUGUAUCAUCAGAUCUUCACAGAAAUGACAUGACUUACCCUUUGUCACUAAGGAAGUGAUUUUGGAGUGUGCAUUUGUCUUGCCUUCUUAAAAUUCCAUAAACCUGCCCUGAAAGGAGAUGCAUAACUGGGAAAUGAAACUCUUCUGCAGUUUAGCCUUUGUGUACAUAAAAUAUGCCAUUAAUUUUAUUGGGGGAGGAAUUCCAUCCAAAAAUGUUGCCUACAGCUAUGAUUUAGGAUUGUCUGUACAGUGUGUAGCUUUUAUUUUCUAAAAUCACAGAUAGGGCAUGUAUAUGAACUAUAAAUAUAUAAAUACAAUUUUGUAUUAAAAGUUUUGUAGUUUAUGGCAAAAUCUGGUUCUGUAGUAGGCUAAGUACGGUUUAUGUAAAGGAAUGUUUGUGGCUCAUGUAAAUGUGUGAAUGCAUAAACAAUUUGGAGUUUUUGAUAUAUUUGUGAUAUUUACCUGCCUUGAGCACCGCAAUUUCACUCCCCCCUUGCCCCUCUCCAUGGGAAUUCAGUGAGAGUGUUUGUUGUGAAACUUUGUCUUCCGUUGCAUUUUAAAGUAAUUUCCUGUAAUUUAUUUUCAGUACAUAAUUAAAAAUUGGUUAUAUAUGUAUAUAUACACACAUAUUUCAUAUGUAUGUAUAUAUGUAUAUAGAUGAUAUGAAAUGUGAUUCUUUUUUAAGGAACUCUUCAAAUAUAUAUUCCCCAACACAAACCAUGUUUGUUUAUACUAAAUGAGCAUGAGCAGGAAAUGCCCAAAUGACAGCUCCUUUGGUACUAUACCUUGCAAUGAAGCUAUGUUUGUGAAAGAAUAGUUAUUCUUCCAUGUCUGUCUCUAUUAGAAGGAAAAAAAAUCUGUCUAGGUGUAAUUGUGGGGUUUUGUUUUUGUUGGUGUUUGUUUUCAUUUUGGGGGUAUAAGUUAAGGCUGAUAUUCUACAAUGACCUGCACUUGUGAAAGCACAUAGCUUAUUCUCCAAGUGAAAAUGAAGUUCCAUGUUGAAUUUUGAAACACACUUUGAUUUUGUAUCUUUUUUUCUCCUUGGAAUUUUGUUUUCAUUAUGGAUUGUAUCUAUUUCUAUCCUUAUUAAAUUGAUACCAACUCGCCUAUUUUCAAUCAAAAAGAAUCCACUUGAAGUUUGUAUGUUUCCUCUUAUCACCUUGUUUAAUGAUGCUAUGGAUUGUUUAUGAAUAGAAAAAUAAAAAGUUGGCUGUGUCAUAGCAAAGCUUUUGAAAUUGAAGAUUGUAUUUCACAUGUUUCUAACCAAGAGAGUGAUGAAACCCAGACUACUUCAGUUUUGUUUUUUUUUUAAAGUAAUGCUUUUAGCAUUUCAUGAUAGGAAGUAGUAUGGAAAGAGCGUUAACUUUGAGUCAGAGACCUUGGUUCAAACCCUCCCUCCCCUAAUUUUAACCUGUGUGAUCGUGGGCAGGGAGGGAUACAUACCUACCUGGUCUGAGCUUUUGAUUCCUCAUCUGUGAAAAUAGAAGAUCUGUCAGAAGGGUUACAAGGAGCAAAUUUAUGUAAACUGCUUUAUAAAGUCUGGUAUGAGCUAGAAUCUGUUAUUGAAUGGAAUUGAGGGUAAUUUAAUUCUAUAAAAGAUAUCUAGAGAAAUGUUUCUUUUGAUCAGUAAAAGUCUUUGACCCUCAUGAAAUAAAUAAAUUAGUAGGAAAACAAAGCAAAACUAAAUCUAUCAAAAUUCUUUACAUUUAAUAUUAAUGCAUUUUUUCUAGUGAAUAUAAAUAAGUUUGUAACAGGAAUUAAGCAGUUUUCCCCAUCAAUAGACUACUUUUCUCCCUUUCUAAGUCACCAAGAGAGCUUGAUGGACAGUAUUCUGGUGAAAAGUGAAGCUCUACUUUUAAUUAGGUUGCAAAUGAAAGGAUUUCAGGUAAUUCUUUGCAAAUAAUACUUUUCUAGUCGCUGGAUUCAAAAGGAAGUGUAACUUCCUAACUUCCUAGAGGAAGAAGCCUGGCAGAGUGAAUGAAUGAAUGAAAAAACAUUUUAUUAAGCAAUUAUGUGCCCAGCACUCUACUAAGUGCUGAACACAUAAAGAAAAAAGGGAGACUUUCCCUGUUCUCUAGGGGGUUCACUUUCUAGUUGAGAGACAACAUGUAAGAAAUUUUAGCUUUUGGAUGGACAAAAGCGCCUGGAAGCUCAAUAGAGUGAAUGGCUAAGAGCUGUAACAUGCAUUGGUAAAUUGAAGGAAGUGUCAAUGGAGUAGGGUAGAUGGUCCUUUAUCUUAGAGAAGAGCCCUGGUCUGAGAAUUCAGAAAUUUGGGCUUAAUUUGUAACUCUGCUACUAAGCCAGUUAUAUAGCAUUCAUCAACUCUUGAGAUUUAGAAAAUGCUUUGCAUUCAUUUGCCUGCUCUCAAUCUUAAAACAAUACUUUGAAGUAGGUAAUAUAAAUGUCUCCAUUUUACAGAUGAGGAAAAGUUUCAAAAUGUGACUCAUACAUCUUAGAAGUGACAGAAUUGGGAUUAGAACCCAGAUCUUUUCAACUAGUACUCUUCCUAUACCACCAUGGACCUAAUCUCAAAGGUCUGACAACUGAAAAAAUGAGUGAAUUUAGAUGGACUAGUCUCCCAAAGCUACUAAUGACCAAAUAUUUAAUAAAUGAUCACCACCAAGCAAGUGUGUGGUCCUUUCAUACAAUGCCCAUCUGCUUUAGGACAGUGUGACAUAGCCUAAACAUCUGGGGCAGAAGCAAAGUGGAGUUCAUCACCUUUAUCAUGAAUCAUUUUACUCUUUAUUUUCUGUGGGAGAAUAGAUGGGAGAGCUGAUUUGCUGCUUAGUAACAGUUCUCUGAGAGGCUGAAACCCUGACCUGUACAGAGCACUGGUUGUACCAUAGACUUGAUCCAAUGUUCACAUGUGAGAUUGCUCAGGACUCGAGAUCCUUUUAGAAGGUGGACCAGAACCUUUCUUUGGAUUGUCUCCCGAAUGUGUGAUGACAGUGUUUACUUUGUUAUAAUAACUUUCAGAUAAAGGAAUUCACAAAUCUACUGUUUUUGUUUCCUUUUUGAUAAAAUUAUCUAGAAAUAUUUCAAGAAUAAAAUAAGUUUACCUAGAA